rnacentral:rRNA from 1 species
CAGCAGCCGCGGGAAAACGGAGGGUGCAAGCGUUAAUCGGAAUUACUGGGCGUAAAGCGCACGCAGGCGGUCUGACAAGUCAGAUGUGAAAUCCCCGGGCUUAACCUGGGAACUGCAUUUGAAACUGUCAGGCUGGAGUCUUGUAGAGGGGGGUGGAAUUCCAGGUGUAGCGGUGAAAUGCGUAGAGAUCUGGAGGAAUACCGGUGGCGAAGGCGGCCCCCUGGACAAAGACUGACGCUCAGGUGCGAAAGCGUGGGGAGCAAACAGGAUUAGAUACCCGCUAGUCCCUGUCUCUUAUACA